rnacentral:rRNA from 1 species
UACGAAGGGUGCAAGCGUUACUCGGAAUUACUGGGCGUAAAGCGUGCGUAGGCGGUUUGUUAAGUCCGCUGUGAAAGCCCUGGGCUCAACCUGGGAAUUGCAGUGGAUACUGGCAAGCUCGAGUCCGGAAGAGGAGUGUGGAAUUCCUGGUGUAGCGGUGAAAUGCGCAGAUAUCAGGAGGAACACCAAUGGCGAAGGCAGCACUCUGGGACGUGACUGACGCUGAGACGCGAAAGCGUGGGGAGCAAACAGG